rnacentral:lncRNA from 1 species
GGGAGUGCUCUGAGAGGCAACCAUUUCUAGGGAAAGGUCUUGUCCUCUUAGUAACAACAACAAAAGAAGUCCAUUUUCAAACAUCUAUUAGACAAUGUCAAUCUUUCUUUUCAAUUGUAUGCUUAGCUUAGCAAAGAGAGUCAGGUGGAAUCUCACACCUUGCCCAAAUUGUAUUUGGUGUGAGGCUCUUCAAAGCUUCCAAGACACCAUCCUUCUCCUCUCCCCCUAUCAGUGGAACAGAUAAAACUGGAGCAACCUGCAUUAUUCUAAAACCAUAGAGAUGAUAUUUCUGUUUGCUUUUCUACUCAUUAGGAAGCUCUGAGAGGAUGCAUAAGAAAUGAAUCACAGUGGGUGAAGAAACUGGACAGACUUCAGUGGGUGAGGAAACUGGGGAGACUUUUCACAUGUACAUUUUGGGUAUUUUUAAACCAUGAGAAUUACUGCCUAUUCAUGAAAAAUUAACCUGAGUAGAAUAUAUAUGAGAGAGUUGCUGCUAAAUAUAUUCCACAUAAUACCACAUAUUGAGGAGGAGGAUGUUACCUACUGAAGAUAUGGGAUUGAAAAACAUGCAAUAACUUUCUGUUUUGCUCAAUGGGUCAUAAGUUGAAAAUUAGACUAGAAAAUAUUUGUUCAGAGAAGUACAAAAUCUUAGGUGAGGCAAAAUGCACACUAGUCCUCUCCUCCCUUAUCUUUCCAAAUGGGGAGACUUGUCAGUUUAAAGCCAUUUGCUCCUCCAGUUAAGUUCUAGGAUCGUAGACUUGGAGGACUGGCUGAGCCAUCAGUCCCAAGUGGAAAGGCUAAGCUAAGCAUACAACUGAAAAGAAAGAUUGACAUUGUCUAAUAGAUGUUUGAAAAUUGACUUCUUUUGUUGUUGUUACUAAGAGGACAAGACCUUUCCCUAGAAAUGGUUGCCUCUCAGAGCACUCCCCUUCACAUACAUCCUCUUACACCUUAGCAGCCUGAGCAAUUUUCUCCCUUCCCAAGGCUUUACCUAGGUGUAAAAGUUCUUGUUACUCAUGAACUUUAAGUUUAAAUAAAAAAGGGGGGAGUAAUGAUGUAAACUCUUUUCAUGUUGUAAACUCAGAAACAAAGGGAUCAACUAAGCAGGGUGUGGAACAAUCGACCCCUUCUACCCAUAGGUCAUUAAAUGGCUGCUGGAUGCCAAAAAGAUUUUAAGCUAGAACUGUUUUCCUUUUCAAGAAAUAUGCAAAUAAACAAACAAACUCUACCAAAGGAUAGAGCUCUUCAGGUCAUUCUUUUGUUUAUGUCUCCUGCAGCUUUUCCUGUUGCAUAGUCCCAGCUAAUAAACAACUUAAGCCACUCUUACAGUGAAGUUCAAAUUGCAAAAUAAGAGACUUAACUGUCUUGUUUAAAGGUAUGCUAUAUAUCAAGUCACAAGGCAAUAAUAUCUAUUCUAUCCUUUUGCGGCAAUAAACAGACCCGCCCCAAAACACAAAAUCAGAUGGCCUUUUCCCACAAAGGCAGGUGGUUAACAAUAGGAUUUCCAAAGGGCACUCAUUUAUGUUGGAAGCUGAUAGGCAUUUCACAUAGUGACCAGGAGAAAGAAUGGGUCAAUGUUUGUAAUACCCAAAAAGGUGGCAACUGGGGGAAACGGUGGGGCAGGAAGGAAAUGGAAGGGAGUUGAAAGCAUCCUUGGUUUCCCCAGCUGUUUGCAGAAGUUGGAACAUACGGUGCCAGGAUUUUUCCAAGAUGGCAAGGGAUAGAAAGUAAAAUUAUUACCCCCUGCCCCCCGCCAAAGAAUGCCUUCCAACAAAUAAAGAUGUAUUCGCAGUUUGGAGACUUUUCUCCUUCCACAGGAAAUGAGCAGAGGUCACUUAGAACCAAUUCUCAUCAUUUAGUAAAAAUAACAGGGUGAUAAUAGAAGCAACAGAAGGAGUCAAGGUGUUUGUGCUAAAAAAAAAAAACUUUAAGUUCAGGCCUGGCCUGGAGUGGGAAUAUCCAAAUGGGUUCUUCAUAUUUCAAGUUUUAUAGACAGUCUUUUCCCUAAAGGAUAUACUUUCAUUAGGUCAUAAAUGCACCAACAGAUGAGAGAGGGAAAGAGGUGUGUGUGUGUGUCUGUGUGUGUGUGUGUGUUUGCAUGUGGCCAGAAUGGCAGAGCAGGUAUGGAGGUCAGGCUGUGCGGGGAGGUGGUGGGGCUGUGUGUCACCCACCUGUGAGGGCAGCAGCCAGGGACUACGACUUCAGGUGGCCCUCUGUGCCUAGGCUUCUCCUUGGUUAUCUUAGUUCUCAGGUUUCCCGUGGGUUCCACUGAGGCUCCUAAUUGCUCCAAAUCCAGGCAUUUACUUGCCUAAAGGCCACAAGAAGUGGGGUGGGGACGUAUCUUUUUCAGAGAGUUUGUUAAAAAUUUAACUCAGAGAAGUGUAUUAGUUGGGGCCUCAAUGCCUGAACUUGGGUGGGAGAAAAAUGGGUUGUUUGGCGACUUUCAUUUCUCGCUGGACCCCAAUUCCCCAGAUUGGAGAGGUUUACCUCCUCCAAAACCCAAGGGGCCCAACUGGGUGCCCCUCGGGGGCCAAUGCUCUUCAUCUUCCCACUCCCUGUUCCAUGCAAGAGAGGACUUUGCAGACAGAAUCGUCCUGACCCGAUAGCCACGUAGGCUUCCUUCCGAGCACUUCUCAAAGUGAGUCUGGGUUUUGCUACCAGUAUCAAUUAGCCGCUUCUGGCGAAUCCCAGAGAAUGUUUAAUUAACUCCACAGCUCUGAUUCACACUUACAGGUUGGUAGCAGUUUAAAAUUAUUGUAAAACACCACCCGGAUAAUAUAUUUACUUUUUGUCUAGGCCAGAUUAGCAAGACACGCGCACACACUCUACGUUUAAGUCACACCCUGCAAUGCAGAGAAAAUAUUUCAAUAGGCAUCUGCAGGCGGCCGAGAAGAACUGGAGCAAUGAUUAUUUUCCUCCUUUUUUGAUUUUCUGUUUCUAAAGAAAGCACUGGUAUCAAGGACGAGUUAGGUAAUGCGUAUUAAAAGGCAAGCAGGUCGCUCUCGUUUACGCCCAAUCAUAGUUCAUAGUUCAAGGAAAACUGCCUUUAAUUGACACCGUGUAUAUUCCUCUGCUCCUCUCAGGCUGCCCUGGCAGGGACGCCCCAAGAGUAUUUAUUUCUAGGGUUGGAAACAAAACAACCAACCCCGUCUACUGCGUAAGAGAGCGUUCCAAGAUGGACUGCCGGAGAAAGGCUUUUUGACCCCUGUGGAAAUUAGUCAUAUUGACAGACGCCCAGGGAAGGUAAAUUACCCCGCGCGCUGACGUUACGCAGAGGCGCACCGGGUUCCGACUCCACCGCGGCGCCGAGGGGGCCAGAGGCUCCCAGUUCUUCCCCGCAUAGUUCGACAAAGCCCUACUUUGCUUCCCUGGGUCUGGGAUCUCAACGUGAAGGGGGCCGAGAGAGCGGUGAUAAGGUGCUAGAAAGGAAACGGCAAGAGGAAACUAAAAAAGUGGAGAGAAAUUUUGUGCGCCGUAGUGCUUAGCAAGCUGGGGAAACGAGGAGAAAACGAGCAAAGUCUACAGGGGAGGGAGAGAGGGAGGAGGCAGGGAAGGAGAGGACCACGAGGCUCCCGGCGCCCAGGCCGCCACUUGGGAGGUCCCGGCCCCAAAGCAGGCCGGGCCAACCGUCCCCCCGGGAGGCUCGGGGCUCGGGCGGGGUCACAAUUACACCUCGGCUCCAGGCGAGGACUUAAAAACCAAGUGGUGGGGACUGCAGUCUGGAAGCAAGGCCCUGCGGUCAUCGGAGGGGGGCCAGGCCCGUGCACAGGAACCUUUUACAAGAUGGUGUCCCAGGACUGCAAGUAACUGCGUACAUCCACACAGCGCAUUACACCAACCUGAGAAGAAUCCUUGCGUGACCGGAUUGUUUCUGAACCUGCCGAGCCCCUGCUGCAUCUGGGACCCGCCUUCACCGUUUCCCAAUCCCAGCGGUUAGCCCCUGCGCCCCCUUUUUGGUCUCCACUUUGCCGUUCGAAAAUGCCUAGGUUGGUGGAUCGACCCUCCGCGGAGCAAAGACGGAUGGCUGGCAGGAGCAGGUUCAGGAGCUGGGCCAAGUUUCACACGAAGAGACUUGGAGUAUCUGGAGAAGGUUUUUGAAGACGUUUAGGAGGGAGGGUGAGUUUUCUGCUGAGAAACUCAAUCUGCCAUACAGUAGCGGCCCCAUCUGGGAUCUGUCACUGCUGACAGCACCAGAGGGCACAGCCGUGAUCUUCUGCACAGCCUGCACUCCCCGAAAUACCCUCCUUAAUCAAAGGAUGUCUGCGCGCCUGAGCUCAGCUGACCGCGCCGGGAGCACCAGGGCCGUUGGAUUCCACCCCAGCCCGCCCCCUCCCCACGCACACAGCCACGGCCCCUCGCGUCUUCGCGGCACGUUAAUUAAAUGCGGAAAACAGACAGAGGCUGAUGUCAUUGCUCUCACAAGAUCAUAAACGUAAAAGAGUCAUCCUGUGAGAAUCCCUGAAAAUGACUUUAAUGAAUAAUUUCAGAGACAGUUAUGACUUUGGGUGAUUACUGAGCAAGAAUAUGAAAACCAGAUUUGCAAAGCGAAGGCGAUGGUCAAAAGGCCUGGCAGUUACUUUCUCUCAUUAAAACCGCACCGGCUUUCCUUCUUCGCCAAGUACUAGUUACCAACUGAGGUUGCGUUUUCAGGUUUUCUUCUUCAAAAUAACAGUCUUCUUUUCCUGCUUUUCUGCCUUAUCCUAAAGACAAAAUGUCAGCUCCAGGGAACGACAUUAACAACCCACUUUAAAUUGAAGGCAACUCUGCACUGGCGUCAGUGGCCAUUGGCUUCCAUCUUUUUACAAAGGUUGGAUUUACUGCCAUCUUAGGAUCAUAUCUCUUUUGGCCUCUUCUCUAGGCAAUGUAUUUAAUGAAGGUUGAACAUUCUCACUGACCCUGAGUCAGUGCACUGUUUGUUGUAAAGGAUCUCAGCUGGUGGGGCAAAAAACAAGUUCCAAACAACCUGCCUUUACAGAAGAGUCUCCCUGACUCUUUAGUUCUAGGUCACCAAUGAACUGAAAAAUGAUUUGGUGCUACAUUAAGGAAUAUUUUCAAACACUCCAUCUGGCCAUGGAGAAGCAUCCAGUUGGUUAUAUCUGGUUGCUCAUGCAUUAAAAAUACUAUUUGAGAAAACAACUAGGGUGUUAGUUGUGGAAGUGGCCUGGUGAGUACCCUCUGAUCUUUUGCACGAAGUUUAGCUGCCUGCAAGUCUGUCUUCUUUGCUUGAAAAUAUAAACUGGGACUCUCUGGGCCUGUGUCCCAUGUGGAUUUAUUCCACUUAAUUCAAGUAAAAGUUUGUUUAUACUCUGAGCAAGAAAGUAUUAUAGGCACAAGUGAUGUGGAGUUUUCAGUUUGCUUGUUUUUUGCUGUUGUUUGUUUGCUUUUGAGCGAUCUGAGUGAUUUAGAAAACUAAUGUGUCUCAGUCGGCUCCACCAUUCAGACAGAUCAUAGAGAACCCACUUACCAGCACUCUAGAAAACUGUACUUUGUGCAGACAUUGCCUGAUCCUCCCCUUUCUAGAAGCACAGAUAGGCCAGAAUCCUUCAGUCACUGAGGACACAAUUGUCUAAAAGCCUCAUUCCCUAUCAUUAGCCCCCAAACCGCAGAGCUGUUUCCUUCCCUCUUGGCUCCAGAUAGGGGUGGGUGGGAGAGGGGACUAGGCUCUCCAUGUGACAUUUCCCUGACUUGAGAGGAAAUGUUUCUUUCUGAUUCUAGAUUACAUGAAGACACUUUGGAGUUGGUGUAUAGGGUUUCCUCAAAGAACUGAGGUAACGUGGACUUUAGGGAAUUUUCCUCAAUUGGAUUCCCUGUUUAUUUGUGAUACUAUUUGUGUCCCCCAAAUAGAUCUUCUUGUUGCUCCACUCACAUCAUGAGCAGUUUUCCUUUUCCUCUAGUUACAUUCACUCUAGCUUCUGACUGAAGACUCUGCUUGCCCUUUGUAGCCCGUGCAGGAAUAAACAGCAUCUUCUGGAUUUGCUUUGAAUCCUUGUGCUGCCCAAUGAGUCAGAGGUGUAGGGUUGAUCCAAUAAUAUGGCUAAUUCUCUCCCUGUAAAGACUUUAAAUAAUGUAGGCCUCUCUUCACCCAUCCCCCAUUCUCACCAUCCUGGACUUCACGCGGGUCAUGGAGAAGGUGUCCAGGGUGGGAGGCACGCUGGGUGGGUGUGGCCUCCUUUGGCACAGUGGUUCGGCAUCCUCUGGGGGAGAUUUUGAAAACUGCAGGCUCCGCGUCGAGCCCCUGACCUGCUGAAUCAGAAUUUCUGGUGAAGGUAGGGUGAAAACGGGGCUGAAUUUGUCAUUGUAUCAAGUUGUCCGGGGAGUGGAAAGUCCAGGUGUUGGAUUAAUCCCAGCACCCCUUACUUCAGAAGAGACCAGGCUAUCCCGCAGAACGCUAGGGUCAGAGGUCUGGGGCAUCAGUCAGCCCGUCCAGGAAUUAUGCAAAUAUAUGCAGCCUCUACUCUGAACACUGGGACGUAGUAGGGGACAAAGCUGCCGCCAGCCGUCCUCGUCCUUGCGAGGUGUCAGUGUUUGCGCCAGGGACAACUCCCUGGAGGGCUGGGGGAAGGGAGGGGCAAAAGAGGGUCCAGGGCCUCAGCUCGCUAUGUACUUUAGGGUUUAAUAACAGGUGCAAAGGCAGCUGCUAAAAGACAUCGCAUUCUGUAAUCAGCUUCUGCCAGGCUGUCCGGCUAAACAGAAACUCCCACAAUUUUGGCCCGAGGGCUGUAGGGCGGAGCGGGUGCCAGUGAGAUGAGGGCAACCCUAAGAGGUGGCAUAAGAGCCUUACCCCUAAGAGCCACCCCAACCCCAUCCGGGGCUUGCACCGGCACCGCCUGGGCCGCAGUUGUUGCCUCAGGGAAGCUUCGCCCUGGCGCAGGGAUAGAGCAAAGAAGCGACCGCAUGUGGAAGGCUUUCCAGGCGGAAUGCUCCAGCCGUAGCGAGUUGGAAAAUUUAGAGUGGGGAGGGGGCAGUAGAGAUGUUAACUGGCCCCUCCUCACCCCAAACAAGGAAAACACAGUCUUCUGGGCUAAAAAUACAUAUUUAUGAAGUCCCUAUACGCAGGCAGGCGGCGCGUUCCAGCUGCCGGCCUGGCCCAGGGAGGACUUGGCCGCGCGGCCGCCGAUUACACCCAACUCGGCUGGGAUGGCUCCGAGCCGUCUGCCCUGACGUCAGCGAGGCUCCGGCCCCGCCGCGGCAAGAUAGGCGAGCGCGGCCGGGCGCGGGUGCGGCACUAAUCACUCCCAGAUGUCCCUAAUAGCGGAGAUAAAGACGGACAGAGCGGCCGGGAAUAAAUUUGUAAUCAGGGCUCUACCAUCUGAUCAUCAAAGCGGCCCAAAUGCCGGGAGAAUUUGAAGGGAAUGCGUGUGAGGGGGGUCGCUUGGGGGAAGAGGUGAGGGUGCACUUCGCGAUGGGAACUGGCUUCGGUAGGGUAGAGCAGGGAGAACAGGGCGAGAGAUCUGUAAGUUCGGUGCACGUAAGUCGGAUACUCGGUGCUCUUUAACCUCCAUUAGCCCUCAGACCGAAGCCGUUUAGCGGUUCCAGGCUGAUUGGAGCUGCGCAGUUGCUGUGCGGGAAGCACGCGUUGCGCAGCGGCUGGGUGGUAAGGCGGCGCGAUGAGAACUGUCCGGCCCCCGGAAACGUGGGAUUGGUUUCCUCUCCCGGAGUUCUCCCCUCCCCCUUCUUUCUAAACAUUUAAAAAACACGUAGUCCGUCUCCCCCAACCCCCAUUCCCGGUAGACUUAAUCCCAACAGCAAUUCAUUGCACCGCGGAGCUUCCUCAGGGAGGGGGCUGUUGGAGCC